CUGAGCCACCCAGGUGCCCCAGAAGUGUCCUUUGUAAUGACAUUUGCCAAGAGCCUAACUGUCCAACAUUAAGAAAUCAGUUCCAAGUUUGGUUCUCGUGAUCUUGAACAGUUUCUUACAACAGUACGUUACAAACGAGUCUGGCUGUGCAAUGACAGAACCACUUCUCCCAUUAUCUGAGACAGCUGUCGCGCAGCAGCGACGCCUGAGAGGCCGGCAAUGAGCAGCCCCGGGCAGGGUGUGUGCAAAUUCUUCAAGCGACCGUCCGCUUCUCACAUGCGGAGGAGACCAGCCUGCUCCGGGGGCCGGCCUGUGGAAAUGCGGCUCUGCACCUGGCCAUCAGACUCCGUUUCAGGAUGCCUGCGAUGACACCGGUCCCACCCGGGCAAUCUGGAUAAUCUCCCCAUGUCACGCCGCUGGCUCAGCCACAUCUGCAGUGUCUUUUGCCACACAGAGUGACAUACUAGGUCACCGGAGAUUAGGUCGCGGCCAUCCUUGGGCUCCGUUCUGCUCCCUACCGCAGGGACCUCCCUCGGGAAGGGCAGGCAGGAGAUCUUGGAAGACCCUGCAGCACCACCUUCGAGCUCCUACUCCGGAAUCUUGGUAGAAUUCUACUGUCGCUAACAGUGGCGGCCCUGGCUUGAAUUUGCAUCUGCAGCACGUCCUCUCCGUAAGCCUGAGAAAAUGUCAGUUGUCCCCACGCCCAACCAGCUGGGUUCUUGUUCAUUUGGUUUUUAAAUACACUUAUUGGUUUUGUUUUCUGAUAACAACACGAUAGGAAAGGGGUAGCGAAGGAAAUCUGGAAAAGGCUAAAAGCGAUGGUAAUCACCUAGACAGCCAUCACCCAGGGGUGACAAGUGUUGAUGCCUGGUGUGUCCCCAGUUGCACCCAACUU